UACGGGGGGGGCAAGCGUUGUUCGGAAUUACUGGGCGUAAAGGGCCAGUAGGCGGCCAACUAAGUCCGACGUGAAAUCCCCAGGCUUAACCUGGGAACUGCGUCGGAUACUGGAUGGCUUGAAUUCGGGAGAGGGAUGCAGAAUUCCAGGUGUAGCGGUGAAAUGCGUAGAUAUCUGGAGGAAUACCGGUGGCGAAGGCGGCAUCCUGGACCGGCAUUGACGCUGAGGAGCGAAAGCUAGGGGAGCAAACGGG
rnacentral:rRNA from 1 species